rnacentral:rRNA from 1 species
CCUACGGGAGGCAGCAGUGAGGAAUAUUGGUCAAUGGACGAGAGUCUGAACCAGCCAAGUCGCGUGAAGGAUGACUGCCCUAUGGGUUGUAAACUUCUUUUAUAUGAGAAUAAACUGUUCCACGUGUGGGCUUUUGUAUGUACCAUAUGAAUAAGGAUCGGCUAACUCCGUGCCAGCAGCCGCGGUAAUACGGAGGAUCCGAGCGUUAUCCGGAUUUAUUGGGUUUAAAGGGAGCGUAGGUGGAUUGUUAAGUCAGUGGUGAAAGUUUGCGGCUCAACCGUAAAAGUGCAGUUGAAACUGGCAGUCUUGAGUGCAGGAGAGGUGGGCGGAAUGUGUGGUGUAGCGGUGAAAUGCUUAGAUAUCACGAAGAACUCCGAUUGCGAAGGCAGCUUACUGGACUGCAACUGACACUGAGGCUCGAAAGUGUGGGUAUCAAACAGGAUUAGAUACCCUUGUAGUC